ACACAACUGCCCUGUGUGGGCCUCGCCAGGCUCCACAGAACCCUGCCCAGCUGUCAGCUCGCUCUGCUGUGUGUGUCUGGGCUCUGCCAGGGAGCGCGGUACAAACUGCCUCCAGGUUCUGGUGGGGAUCUGGAGUGAGACCUUUUCUGGGAAGUCUGCUCAGAAGAGCCCUCUACAAACCUGUUGGACUCUUUGGGCCUCUGCUCAUACCGGGAUACUGUUUCUUGAUAUAUGGAUGAUUAUCGUGGUGACAGAUUAUAUAACAGCUCUCAAGAGGAAGCUGCUAACAAGCCCAUCUGAUAUUCUGUGCCAGCUUUUUUAGUGGAGGCGUGCUGCAUUAGACUGAGCUCCACCCUGUUUGUCGAGGGCUUUGUGUGCCCUCUAACAGGAUUUUGGGAGAUGCACAGUCUGCAGCGCAGACAUAUUCUUUUGUUGACUUAACUGCUUUGGUGUCAGGAUUGAGGAACUGUCAUGCUCUGCAGAACCUUCUUAAGUCCUUGUCCUCUGGCUUAAAUAAAGACUAUAGAACGUUCUAAAUGCA
rnacentral:lncRNA from 1 species